GACGAACGCUGGCGGCGUGCUUAACACAUGCAAGUCGAACGAUGAAGCCGGAGCUUGCUCUGGUGAAUUAGUGGCGAACGGGUCAGUAACACGUGAGUAACCUGCCCUUGACUCUGGGAUAACUGCGGGAAACUGUAGUUAAUACCGGAUACGACCCUCGGAGGCAUCUCCUGGGGGUGGAAAGAAUUUCGGUCAAGGAUGGACUCGCGGCCUAUCAGCUAGUUGGUGAGGUAAAGGCUCACCAAGGCGACGACGGGUAGCCGGCCUGAGAGGGUGACCGGCCACACUGGGACUGAGACACGGCCCAGACUCCUACGGGAGGCAGCAGUGGGGAAUAUUGCACAAUGGGCGCAAGCCUGAUGCAGCAACGCCGCGUGAGGGAUGACGGCCUUCGGGUUGUAAACCUCUUUUAGCAGGGAAGAAGCGAAAGUGACGGUACCUGCAGAAAAAGCACCGGCUAACUACGUGCCAGCAGCCGCCGUAA
rnacentral:rRNA from 1 species